rnacentral:lncRNA from 1 species
AUUUGGGUCCCUGUCAAAUAUUUUUUAUUUAGAUAUCCUUAUAUAGUAAGAAAAUCUAGAAAUGAUUGUGUAUCAGGGUUUGUGGAAAUUAGAAUAGUUAGCUGUGUGCUAGCUAUAUAUUGUUAUACUUGUUCUUAUUUUCCCACUUACUAUAACAGUACAGUUUCCACAUUUAUACUGAUAAGUAUUAGAUUUCACUAAAAACCAAGCAGGACAAUUCUAAAAAUACCUAGACAUAAUUUAGUGUGUAUUGUAGCUCCUUAGUUUAUCACUUAUUCACACAUGGGAGUUUUUAUGAUUCACUAGGAUGCUCUGUUUCAUGUAAUACCCAUUGAAGAUUUGAACCUUAUUUGAUCCUGCAGUAAAAUAGCUCUCAGAAGUAAAGAUUAUUUGUUUUGCUUUUAUAAAUUAUGAAGUUUUCUUUACAUAGAGUUUUUCUAUUAUCUAAACAUUUUUCUUUUUUCUCCCCCCUACUCUCAACCCCCAAUCUCUUUCUAGGGCGUGAUUGACUACAUUUUCUAUUCCAAGACUCAUAUGAACGUGCUUGGUGUCCUGGGGCCUUUAGAUCCUCAAUGGCUGGUUGAGAACAACAUCACUGGGUGUCCACACCCUCACAUCCCUUCAGACCACUUCUCACUGUUAACACAACUUGAACUCCACCCUCCACUCCUGCCUCUUGUCAAUGGUGUUCACUUGCCUAAUCGGAGGUAGUGGAGUACUGCCCCGCAAAGACGGGGAUCUGUUGCUAUGGACCUGUAUAGUUGUAAAUCAAAGUAUGUAGGAGUGAAGUAUGGCCAUCCUUAAGCUGCUUCUUCAGGUUCCUUUCAUUAUGUGUUUGCUAUAAGACUUUGUACAUUUUUGUGCAUAUUGAUAUCAUUUGGCACUAGGGCUGGAACCAAAGUAUUAUUGUCUUUCCAAAAUUUUAAUUUAACGUGUUUUUAAAUUGGAUUUUCUUCAUAUUAUAUUAGGAGUCAGCAUUCAUAAUUGAUUAAUCACCUAUUUGAGGCCAAGCAACAAUGUAUUUGUUUUGAAAAAACGAAUACAUUCUUUUGAAUGGUUUCAAAUGAGCCAGUUGAUUUUGUAAAAGGCAAUUUUUUUAAACUAUAAAUAUAAGAUUUUAAAUUGAAUGAUGGCAUGCCUUCCAGGGAAAACUUUUUUGAAUUUCUGUUUUCCUUUAUAUCAGGCCAAUUUUUUGGCUCCCCAAGUCAUUUGCACAUUAACAAAGCACUUAAAUUUGCUUGAUCUGUACAUAAACUAUGAUAUAACCUCUAGCUGUAAUAAGAAAUUUGAGAAAUUAAAAGAUGAUUGCACAGUAUGCUUUCAGAAUCAAGCAUUUAACAGCACAUGACAGUUUGUUGGCUAAACACUGGUUGUUUUGUUUUGGUUUGUUUUGAGAAAUCACUCUGUUAUUUUUGUCCCUAAUAUUAGUUAUAACCUGUUUAAAAGUAUUCUAAGCCUAUCUCUAGUUUAUUUAUAGGGCAACAGCAGGUAAUUUAUACUGCCAUAUAUCUUGAAAAUAGAAUUUGGUGUGUUUAGGAUGCCCACAAAAUUAGUGUCCAGUAUUUUUCAUUACCUACUUAUCCUUGUUUUCUAUCUGGUUAUACUGGAAAAAGAGAUAACAUCAUUUUGCCUUUAUAAUCAAAUAUUUAUAAAACAAACUGCUGAGAAAAAAGACCCUGAUGAAAGUUUCAGAAAGGGAAAGCCAUACAGAUAUUUCAUGUGUUUCCCAAAGUAGGUUAAAUGGUUGUUGGUUUUGAUUGAGGUUACUAAUAGAAAGGAUUUGAGGGGGAGAAAGAACAGAUUUUGGGCAGUAGUUGAAAACCUUGGAUCAUUUUUUUUCCUGACUCUAGCUGCCAAAUGGCCAUCAUAUGCUUUUAAUCUUUGUUUCCAUUGUCUGUCAGGGUUGAAUUAAAAAGCUACUGGUUUAUUCCCAACUGUUGAUGCCUUCAGAUAUGUUGGAAUCUUUUUUUUUUUUUUUUUUUUAAUAUCCAGGAGGAGCCAGUUGAAAAUCUGUGACUCAAGAGGCAGUGAACGUAAUAUCUCGUUUUCUGGGGGGAAAAAUUGGUUGGCUACUUGAUGUUAAUUAUGGCACAGUAACAGGAAAAGGUUGUGUCUGUGUUUUUAAGUUUUUCUUUAUUCUGCUUUUUUGCUGCUAUAAGAGUUUUCUGAAAUUUAUAUUUUAAGACUUUUCAUGCACUUUACUGUUUCUAGUCUCAAAAUGUGAUAUUUUUAAUAAAUGAGAAAUUUUCCAUUAUGUGAAUGAAAUUUUAAAAGAAAAUAGCCUAUAUUUGUGUCUCACUAAUAUAUAAAGUACAAGUCAAAUUUAAAUUAUUUAAUUAGUUUUAAAUAUAUACAAUUUGUCUCCUCUUUCAAACCUGACAUCUUAGGCUGUUUUAUUAUUAAAUGAUGCAUUUCCUUUGGUCAUUUUAUACUAAUUUCUUCCAUAGUAAAUUAAUCAGGCUAUAUAAGAUAAUAUAUCCCCUGAAGGGUAAUUUUAGUGGGACAAGGGUGGUGGGAUGAUGUAAUAUCAUAUAUGGGAUUGCAUCAGAAGGGUUCUGUAAAGCCUAAACUCCCUUUUAAAAGUGCCUAGUGAUAGAGGCGUUGUUUGUCAUCUGCUAUAAUUGGAAUGUCAUUGUAGUUCAGUGAAGUUUGAUGUAAAUAAAAUAUUCUUUUGAAAAUGUUAAAGUACCAGAAUAAACAAAAAGAAACAACUCUUAAGAUGACAGAUUUUCCUCAAUGUACAGGUAUCCCUUCUUAUAUACCUCAAGCAUCCAACAUCUAGCCAUGCAAAUUGAUUACCUGAAGCAUAGUACUGGAAAGUAGAAUAGCAUGAAAAACUUAAUUUUGUGGACAUUACCUUUUUUUGUAAUCGGCUACUGUAUGUUUUAUUUUAGAUCUUUUUUUUGGGUGGAUUUUCUGCUCUGGAGGUAUAUGCACUAACAAAAUAUUUUCCUCCUUUCAUUAUACGCAUGUUAAUUAGCAAUGUGAGCAAUAUUUCCUACCAUACUUCACUCCCAAUAUUUUUUGAGAUGUUUGUAUAAAAUGGAAUUUAAAGUUCACUUAUGAUUGUAUAUGAACCACAGAGGAGCCCAUUUAUUAAUAAAAAAACCCUUUUUUAAUAGUUAAAUGUAGAGGGAAAAAUAAAAAAUUGGGAAACAUUGUAAACAGCUUAAGUUUAUUUUGUGUAUGAUUGAGGCACUCUGUUGCAGGAAGGUGUGUAAUUGGGUUCUCUCUGCUUCCAAAUGCACUCUUUCAAACCAUUCAUUAUCCUGUGUAUUUUAAAUGUGGUUUUAGUAAAUGUUGGUAGUAGCUCUGUUGAAGUAGGUAAUUGUGUUUUGUUUUGGGUGGCACACACACUUGGGGCAUGGUGACCCAAAUUUCAUGUGCACGGUUUCCCUUAAGCCCAUUGCCCAAAUUUCACACACCCUUCACCCUUUGUUCCCUUUGUAAAAGGAGUGGUAUCUGUUUUGAGCUGCCAAUUCAGGUGAUCAGAAAUGCUGCUAUCCUCAGCAUUGUCUUGUUAAAACGCAUGCCAUUUGGAACUUUGGCAGUGAGAAGCCAAAAGGAAGAGGUGAAUGACAUACAGUAGUUUAUGUUCAAUGAAAGCAAAAUAUAUAGGCUCAUAUACUUUCUAGUUUUCAGAAUAAGUUAAGCUUUAUACCAUUGAACUGCUGCAUAUUUUAUCUGAAGAUAAGAGAAAUUUUGGGCAUUUUUCGAUUGUGAUAUGUUUCUUUUAAAUUGUUAAAUAUGAUUCCUGAUAUUUAUCUGGGAACUGGAGUGUUCUUUAAAUUUAUUAAAACAGUGUUUGAGGAAGGGAAAACUGCACUGUUUGCCAUUAUAACAGUCAUACAAGUGCAUGUCAAGUCACCCACUCUCUCAGGCAUCAAUAUCCGCCUCAUAGCUUUACACAUUUUGAUGGGGAAUAUUGCAGCAUCCUCAGGACUGACAUCUGGAAAAGGCUCAAAUCCACUUACUGCUCCUUGCUUGUUGACUUUGUUUUAAAAUAUUGUGCCUGGUGUCAACUUUUAAGCAACAGCACUGCCUAAAAGCAAGCAGAGAACAGAAUCCCAGCACCAUUCUAUAGGCAACUUUUUAGAAUUCAGAUAUAGUAAAUCUGUUCAAGAUUUAUGAUGUUUUAUGUAAAAAAAAUUUUGUACAACAUAGCUGAAUAUUUUUGUUUUAUUUCUUUGAUGUGAGGCGUGUGAACGUUCGUUUGAAUAUCACAUGUUAAAGUCAGGUAUGGCACAAUGGGUUCUGAGACCAGCUUUUUCCCCCUCCCAUUUGCCUUGUUCCAAGCUCUUUUUUUCAAAUUACUUUUCUGAUAUUCAUAGGCAGAUAUUUAAUUUUACUAAUAAGCAUCCUGUGUGAAUGUAUUAAAAAAGCCACUGUGUUUUAGUGUUGUAGUUUGCAGAAAUAUAAAACUCUGUUCCUUAUUUGCUCCUAUUUUUGUGUCUUAGAGUUAUAUAUUAAAUCACAGAAGCAAGGGAGAAGGUUGAAAGAUAUCUAAGGCUCAUAUCACUUGAUUCUAUAGCAGAUCACAUUAGAAUUGAGGGUGUGGCACAUUAAAACCGGAACAUGGGCAAACAUCUAUUUAAAAAUUCUGUCUCCUAAGUAUAUAUUGUUAAAUGGUUGAAAAUUUAAGUCUGCAUUUCCAAGAAUUUCUAAAAUCACUGAUGUGAUCUUUUCUUUCAAUAUCAAAUAGCAACGAGUACAGAAAGCACAUGGAGGUAUAUGUUCUUUGAAGGAACUGGAGGCAUAUAAUUUGUCAUUCCUAAUACAAGGCUAGAUUUUCUAUUGUUAAAAAUUGCCUGUGUCCCAAUACUUAUUUGAUUCUUAGCUUUUAUAUUCUGAAUUUGAGAUAUUUUAAUAGCUUUGCAAAAUAUGUUGACUGAUAGUAGCUUCAGUCACAGAAAUCAUGAUCAGUUUUUGUUACAGAAUGAUUUUAUGGCUAGCAGAAGCUUUAUGGCACAUUUUCAAAUAACUCAUGUUUGACAUAAAUGUGAAUUCUCACAUUUGUAAGGUUUUCUCACACCUCCCCUCACCUUUAAAAAAAGAAAACACCUUUCUAAUGUGUUGAAGAUGUGUUUACCCCCCUUUCCUUUUGAAUUGUAUCAUGUUUAUAGGACUCUGAAUUAUAGGUAGCAGAUUAACUAAAGAAGUUAGAAUUAUUUUUCUAAGCCAGGAACUUCAACUAAAGUUUUGAAUUUGUAGACAGAUGGGAACUUUUAUGCUUAUGAUUGCUUUGGGAUUUUAAUUUUAUAAUAGUAUCAUGAUCAUCAAAUUGAACUUCAGAUAUAGUUAACUAGUGCAUCUUUAACCUGGUGCAUUUACCAAAGUUAUAAUCUGUUCAAUAGGAUGCCCAGAGCAUCUUUCAGAAUUGUCACCAACAGCUAAGGGUAAAAAAGCCCUUAUAUCUGUACUGCAGGAUGUUCUGAACAAGAACCUCUUGAAAGACGGUUGGCAGUUUUGAGGAAGGUAUUAAGAAGCAUGCAUGUUUCUUAUUUUUACCAAAUCGCUUCUUUAUGAAAAUUUAUCUUAAAUCAAAAGGCCUGUAGAAAGAAAGAAAAGCAGGAAAAGCAAGCUUUAUUAACCUAGUAAGUAAUUUCUUUUGGCAUAAGUUUGGUUAGACUUGGAUUAUUCUUGGAACCAAAGGAAAACAAGUAUGUUGAGGUUUUCAUUCAAUAAACAUGACAUGGAAGUGAUAGAGCAUUUGUAAGUUAAAUAACUUUUAGUGUUAAAACAUAUGAAUUAAGGACAUGUGUAUUAAAUGUUAAUUUUUUAAUGGCACAUUGUACAAACAAUAACAUUAAACUGAAAUUCGAAGUGUCAUCAGAAAUAAAUCACAAUAUGACAGGGUAUGCAAAUAAAUGCCAAGUGAUAUGACUCUUUUGGCAUGGUACAUUUAGCUUUCAGAAUCUUUCAGAAGGCAUAAUUUGCCGCUUAUCACUAGUUAUUUUGGUUAUAGCAGUCUCCCUGAAUUUAGAUAAUUUCACCGUUUGUCAGUUUUAACUUGAAAGCAUAAGAAUCAUGGUAGCCCUCUCAGAAAUGGUCCUUGCUUAUUUCAGUUUUGUGUUAAUUUCAAAGUACCAAUACAUUUUCUUUAAGCCAUCAUAUUUAUAUAAUCAUAUUUAAUUUGCCUAUAGUUAUCUGAACUUACAAAAUUGGCUCCGUGUUGAUGUGUCAAACCAUGGCUUUGCUUCGUACUGAACAGACAUAGUAUCUCCUGCUACUUGUGUCAAUUUUGAUGCAGUAAGUGAUGCAGUAUCUGGGUUUCUAUUUAUUUAGAAACUGUACUGUCCUUUCUCUGUGCUCAACUUACUAAAAAAUGUAUUCCCUUACCUGUGAAAUUCCUGAGCGGUGCUCUGCCAGCUUUUGAGGGGAGGGGUUUGGAUGGCUGUGUUACUGCACACUGGAUCUGGAAUCAGUGUUGUGAGUGGCAAAUUUCUUAAACACCAGCAGCACUGAGAAGUGCACCAUGGGCAUUCGUACAGUUGUCCAAAAGCAAACACUGCUUUUACCUAGGAGAAGCUGAGGUAUAGAGUUAAGUAGGAGUACUUGGAAUGUUUCAAGGAAGAUGAAUUUUUCAACUUUGUUGUCUCUGAAGUAGGGUAGUAUAGAGGUGGGUGGGGUUUUUUUCUUUGUUUUUUUUUUUUAAAGCGAAUGUGUACCUUUUCUCUUUGGAAGGGCCAGGGUGUUUGGUCCAUUCCACCAUGAAUUAAUUUAUAUCAUCUAUUUUUCUUAAUUUAUAUCUUCUAUUGUGAUUUAUUUCAGCUAUAUAAUAAGUGCCAACUAAUUGUCCAUGGGACUAUAUACUCUUCUACUCAAUUUACCAUUGGAGUAGAGAGGGGUUCAUUUAUUUUCAUGACCUGGAACUAAAUAAUUCAUUGUUUUGCAUACAUUCGAGUCAUUCUGUGGCCUAUAGUGUUUUUGUAACUGAUUCUAAUGAUCGGAAAGCAAAGCACAUGAUUUUAAAACUGAGCAAGGUGUUUGGGUAAUUUUUUUCCCUGAAUACUUGUUAGUUUCUAUUAAUAAUAUUCUAAAACAAAUUGUUUCAGCUUAUGUAUUUGCUUUGUCCUAAGAAAAAGCCAAGCACUAAAUCAACUUGUUAUUGUGUUCCAAUAAUCAGUUUAAAAUCCUAAGUUUUUUUUUUUUUUUAUUAGAGGAUUUAAUGAAGUGCCAUGUAAUUGUAGCUUGCUAGUGUUUAAUGUUUAAUAGACUGGUUCUGUGGUGUUCCAAACAUUUUACACUCUGUCAUCCCUGGAGAAAGUGGUUCUACUCUUAUUGAACACAUUCUCUCUGACAAAUCACCAGCUGCUUUAUUUUUCUAUUUAUUAAACAGUUGAUGAGGUCUGAAUCCUGACCUAACUGCUCAGCUGAGAUGUUUUUUCACAAUAGAUGCUGUACAAAAUGUGCGUGCAAAAGAACACAGUUGGGUGGUAGUAUUUUUUCAUUAAUGUGAACAUUGACUAAACAAAGCAGUCCUGCCUUUUAAAUCUUGUGGCAGCUCAGAAGGGAGGUGCUUAAGAAUCUUAACUACUAUGUCAGAUGACAAAAUACUUUUUUCCAUUUUGGAGAUUGGGUACUGCUCACACAUGAUGUAUAGGGCUAAAUAUAUGCUUGUUUCCUUGCACCUGUGUACUUCCCCUUCUCUCCCUCCCUUUCCUUCCCCUGUAGGCAAUAAAUGGCCAUUUUGCAACUGCAUACUUUUGUCUUGGUUUUUGAUUAUUUGUGCAGUGUAAGUUUCUAUUUUUAGUUUGGUACUUCUCUUAUAAAUUAGGGAGCCAAAGGAAUUUAGACAAAAUGAUGACAAAUUCAUGGUACUUUUUUUUCUGGUGAAAAUUAC